rnacentral:rRNA from 1 species
UACAGAGGGGGCAAGCGUUGUCCGGAAUUACUGGGCGUAAAGGGCGCGUAGGCGGCCUGUUAAGUCGAACGUGAAAUCCCUGGGCUCAACCCAGGAACUGCGUCCGAUACUGGUUGGCUUGAAUCCGGGAGAGGGAUGUGGAAUUCCAGGUGUAGCGGUGAAAUGCGUAGAUAUCUGGAGGAACACCGGUGGCGAAGGCGACAUCCUGGACCGGUAUUGACGCUGAGGCGCGAAAGCCAGGGGAGCAAACGGG